rnacentral:rRNA from 1 species
GACGAACGCUGGCGGCGUGCUUAACACAUGCAAGUCGAACGGAAAGGCCCUGCUUUUGUGGGGUGCUCGAGUGGCGAACGGGUGAGUAACACGUGAGUAACCUGCCCUUGACUUUGGGAUAACUUCAGGAAACUGGGGCUAAUACCGGAUAGGAGCUCCUGCUGCAUGGUGGGGGUUGGAAAGUUUCGGCGGUUGGGGAUGGACUCGCGGCUUAUCAGCUUGUUGGUGGGGUAGUGGCUUACCAAGGCUUUGACGGGUAGCCGGCCUGAGAGGGUGACCGGCCACAUUGGGACUGAGAUACGGCCCAGACUCGUACGGGAGGCAGCGGUGGGGAAUAUUGCACCAUGGGCGGAAGCCUGAUGCAGCAACGCCGCGUGCGGGAUGACGGCCUUCGGGUUGUAAACCGCUUUCGCCUGUGACGAAGCGUGAGUGACGGUAAUGGGUAAAGAAGCACCGGCUAACUACGUG